GAUGAACGCUGGCGGCGUGCCUAAUACAUGCAAGUCGAGCGAACAGACGAGGAGCUUGCUCCUCUGACGCGAGCGGCGGACGGGUGAGUAACACGUGGAUAACCUACCUAUAAGACUGGGAUAACUUCGGGAAACCGGAGCUAAUACCGGAUAAUAUAUUGAACCGCAUGGUUCAAUAGUGAAAGACGGUUUUGCUGUCACUUAUAGAUGGAUCCGCGCCGCAUUAGCUAGUUGGUAAGGUAACGGCUUACCAAGGCAACGAUGCGUAGCCGACCUGAGAGGGUGAUCGGCCACACUGGAACUGAGACACGGUCCAGACUCCUACGGGAGGCAGCAGUAGGGAAUCUUCCGCAAUGGGCGAAAGCCUGACGGAGCAACGCCGCGUGAGUGAUGAAGGUCUUCGGAUCGUAAAACUCUGUUAUUAGGGAAGAACAAAUGUGUAAGUAACUAUGCACGUCUUGACGGUACCUAAUCAGAAAGCCACGGCUAACUACGUG
rnacentral:rRNA from 1 species